GGAAGAGCAUCGUCCCCGGUGGGGCGGCCGGUCUUCAAAACCGGUUGAGGCCGUGAGACGGCCUCGGGCAGGUUCGACUCCUGUUCUCUUCCGCCA
rnacentral:tRNA from 1 species